rnacentral:rRNA from 1 species
GAUGAACGCUGGCGGCGUGCCUAAUACAUGCAAGUCGAGCGGAAAGAUAAGCAGUUUGCUGUUUUGAAGUUAGCGGCGGACGGGUGAGUGACACGUGAGUCACCUACCUAUUAGACUGGGAUAACUUCGGAAAACCGGAGCUAAUACCUGAUAACCUUUAGAACCGCAUGGUUCUAACGUGGAAGAUGGUUUUGCUAUCACUGAUAGAUGGAGCCGCGCCGUAUUAUCUAGUUGGUAAGGUAACGGUUUACCAAGGCGACGAUACGGAGCCGACGUGGGAGGGUGAUCGGCGACAGUGGAACUGAGACACGGACCAGACUCCUACGGGAGGCAGCAGUAGGGGAGCUGCCGCAAUGGGCGAAAGCGUGACGGAGCAACGCCGCGUGAGUGAUGAAGAGUUUCGGCUCGGAAAACUCUGUUAUUAGGGAAGAACAAAUGGGUAAGUAGCUGGGCACAUCGUGACGGUACCUAAUCAGAAAGCCACGGCUAACUACGUG